GGGUCAGUAGGUUGGUCGUGCCACCGGUACGUACUGGUCUCACUGAUUCCUCCUUCCUGAAGAACCGUAGUGCCAUUAAUUUGGUGUUGCGGGGAAACAGGACUGUUACUUUGAAAAAAUUAGAGUGUUUAAAGCAAGCUAACGCUUGAAUACAUUAGCAUGGAAUAGUGAAAUAGGACGAUCGAUCCUAUUUUGUUGGUUUCUAGGAUUGACGUA
rnacentral:rRNA from 1 species